rnacentral:rRNA from 2 species
UUGACCUCGAAUCAGGUAGGAAUACCCGCUGAACUUAAGCAUAUCAAUAAGCGGAGGAAAAGAAACCAACAGGGAUUGCCCCAGUAACGGCGAGUGAAGCGGCAACAGCUCAAAUUUGAAAUCUGGCCCCUUGGGGCCCGAGUUGUAAUUUGCAGAGGAUACUUUUGGCGAGGCGCCUUCCGAGUUCCCUGGAACGGGACGCCAUAGAGGGUGAGAGCCCCGUCUGGUUGGAUGCCGAGCCUCUGUAAAGUUCCUUCGACGAGUCGAGUAGUUUGGGAAUGCUGCUCUAAAUGGGAGGUAUAUGUCUUCUAAAGCUAAAUAUAGGCCAGAGACCGAUAGCGCACAAGUAGAGUGAUCGAAAGAUGAAAAGCACUUUGGAAAGAGGGUUAAAAAGCACGUGAAAUUGUUGAAAGGGAAGCGCUUGUGACCAGACGUGGGCCUGUCGGAUCAUCCAGCGUUCUCGCUGGUGCACUCCGGCGGGCUCAGGCCAGCAUCAGCUCGUCCCGGGGGACAAAGGCAGCGGGAAUGUGGCUCCUUCGGGAGUGUUAUAGCCCGCUGUGUAAUGCCCUGGGGCGGGCUGAGGUUCGCGCAUCUGCAU